ensembl:lncRNA
GGGACAGUCAAGUGGGCCGGGGUUUCGGUGGUCAAUGAGCACCAGGACAGGUCGUGGGAGACCCCCUAGAGGAAGGUACCACGCUGAAGCCUGAGCCACAGGCCAAAGCCAGGCUUGUUCAGGAUUGCAUCUAGGAGACCGCAGGGAAAAGCAACAGACCUUUCCCAGUUGGCUCCUGGACUAAUGGACCAGCCUUCUAGAAUGGCCUCUACAGUUGGCCACACAGCACCCUGAGCGUUUGCUCUCUACCACUUGUGAUCAUAGACCUUGUUGAGAACUGAGUGAGACCACUGGACCCUCGCCCUGUCAAAGGCCAUAGGCUUACACAAGUUGAAGCACCAUCGUGUGUUCCCAGAAGACUCCUGCCUCCCAGGACCAGCACGGAGAAGCCACAACUCUGACCAAGGCCACAGCUUGAAUUCUUUCCGUGCCACUUUCUCAUCUCCAGAAUGAAGUUUUAACUCCUCAGCUGCAGACACAGGCCCUUCAACACUCAGCCUUACCCUAAAGGAUCUGGGCUCUUGGACAGCCAGAGUCUUGGUCUCUAUCUCUACUGCUCAGCACAGCUUUCCAGUCUUAGCCACUGGGGGCAGUUCAACGCUCCACUCAGAUGACAUCCUUUCCCUGCCCUGGGGUGGCCCAUCUCUGAUAUGCUCCUAAGAGUAAAAAUAACCGUGGUUUCUGGAUCCACUUUUCCCCCAACACUGGGAACUAUGGGAGGUCAGGAGUCAUAAGUAACUCACUGCUAUAUCUUCAGAACCUGCUCUAGGGCUGCUGUGUAGACUCUCUCAAUAAACAUGUGCUGGACACAACAUCCCCUCACCAUCUAUCUGUUCCUCAUUCCCCCUGAAUUUUGCUUGGUAGCCUAUAGGGUUCCAAGGAGCAGCUUUAACCCCAGACUCCAAAGGAAUAGAGUCAGCUUUAGACAGAAGCCAGCUCUGACAAGGGCAGAGCAGAGAGAGAAUGCAAAGUCUUGGUGACCUAACUGAGGAGCUGGAUCAGCCCUUGCCUGAAGCCAAUCCUGAAAGUUUCAUUUCUAUAAAGCCAUUAUAGUCCUUUUACUAGUUUAAGUAAUGGUUUCUAU